AAGACAUGCUAGAGAGAAUUUCAGAACAUAUCCAAGCCAAGGUAUCAAACUGUAGCAAAGAGAAAAAUGCUAAUUAUUUUUUGGGGAUAAAAAAUGUUGAAUGCUUUUAUUUAACAUGUGCUUUGCUUUCAGGAUGAUGCUAUGCUAAAAUGUAAGGUAUCUCCUCAACUAAAAUUUUCUACAUAUUACUACCUAAGCUAUAAUUUCAGUUGAAAGGGCCUCACUUUAGGUUUUUGUCCUCUACUGUCAAUAAACUAAUUUAUACAGCUAACAUGGUCGGUAAUAAUAAAACACAGUCUAGUAGAUGGAGAAUUUGCAAAUAAGUAAUUAAAACAUCAUUAUUUAAGAAUUAUUUGUGUAUUUUGUUACUUAAAUUAAUAUGUUAGGGGAUUUUAUACCUUCUUUGAUUUGACCUAGUGGAGGAUUUGGGGGACCUGAAUGGACACACAUAGUCGAGUGAAAUUUGAUUUUUUGCAAUUUAUACAGGUUUCCUUACUCUUGUGGAUAUGAACUCUUCUACUUUCGUCGUAGAUUCAAGGAAGCUUCUGUGGAUUUCUAGGUUUUCUUUCCUUCACUUGUUGUUGGGUGAUUUUUCGUUUUAGUCCAAGGAACCGGAACCAUCUUGUUAUGAGAAAUAAUUGAUUUUUAUUUUCCACAUUAACUGGACACUUCGAUGAUAAGUUUUUUACCUUUUCCAGAUGUUGUACUAGCUACAAAUGUUCGGGAUUUAUUCAAGGUCUAUAGCAGUAACUAGUAGAUGCCCACCAUUAUACUAAAAACAAGACCCCUUUGAAAAUUUCUAGUUUUAUGAUGAGCUGUCUUCAAGGUUUAUGUGUAAAUGUAUGGAUUAAUUGAAAUUAGAUAAGUAUGUUUUGCUACUUGGUAUGAGUAUGCAAUUGAACUUCUUAACUCUAUUGUUGCAAGUCCUCGUGCCUCUCUUGCCAUUUCCUUUAUAUUCUGAUUUUUUGAUUUUAAAUAAGUCAUCUACUUCAGGAAGAAAAUUAUAGGCUGAAUGCAGACUUCAAAGAGCGAAAUGCCUACGUUGAGAGCUGCAGAGCUGAAAUCGUUAUUUUCUAGUCUCAUGAAGGAUUCAAUAGUCAUAAAGCAUAGAGAAACAAGCUACAAGAAGCAUGUAUCCUUUUCUCUUUCUAUUUUGGUCAGGCUUAUUGAAAGGGCAUAGUUUGACUAGACUUUUCUGCUUUUGUAGAUCAUGGUGAAAAAGAAAAGUGAACUUAUUGUUGAAUUUGAUAAGCUAAGACCACAAGUGUUCUUAUUCCUCUGUCGUUGGGUCCUAUUUAUAGGAAAAAUCUCUUGUAGAUGUCACUAAUCAAAUAGUGAGCUUAAAGCCACUGUGACCACGAAACAAGGUGAGGUGGGCACAGAGCUCAUUGAUCACUUAACACCACAGGAAAAACAUGAACUAUCCCAGCUGAACUAAGAAAUAAAAGAUCUUAAAGAGGAGCUUAUUAAAUUUAGAACAGAUCGCAUCGAGGUAAGAUAUCUCAACCUUGUGAGAAGCAACUGUACUUAUCCUUAACAGGUAUUUGUUCUGUUUCACAUGAAGCUUUUGUGGCCUUCCAAGCUACUUCCAUAUUUAUGAUCUGCUUUCUGAUAGGCCUCUUGCUUGCUGUCAUGCAUGCCUAUAUGCUAAUGGGUGUAUGGUAAUACAUUGCCCCAAAAGUUUCUGUAUAUUUGUUGCUAAUUGAGGUGGGUGACUUUUUGGAAGAAAAUAGUUUAUUAUCGUUUAUUAUUGCCACCUGUUGCACUAGAGGUGAUAGAUUGAUGUUGCACUGAUGUGUCUUGGCCUCAAACCCUAGAAAAAUAAUAUUACUUGUCACUGAAAAAUGAGUAAAUAAAAAGAAACGAAUUAUUCCUCAUGCUUUUACAAUGUCUAUCUGCUAUUUGUGAUUUAUUAAGAUACAUUUUGAGUAUUAACAUUAGUUUUUGUUACUAUGAAGGCAAAGGUGAUGGUACAAAUGCAGAAUCUGGAGCACAUGAAGAAGAUUUUCUCAUCCAGGAUGAGAUUUCUAAAUCUUGUCUAGUGAACGUGUAGCGUGUAAGUCAUUCUUUAUGGAGAUGCUGCAUUUUGCAAGUAUUGCAAAAGUUGCAAGUGCUCCAUUAUACAUGCAUCCCUUGUUAUUGAAUUGUUGAUUAUCUGUAGGAGGAAGAGACAAUUUUGCAUGAGAGAGACGGCUAUAAACUGGAAGAGGGACGUCUUAUACGUGAAUUGAAAAGGAUACGAGAUGAGGAUGAUUCAAGUUUUAAUAAUUUUCAGAUUUUAAAUCAUCAAUAUGCCCUUUUAAACCUUCUUGGGCAAGGAGGAUUUAGUGAGGUUUACAAGGUCCGAACUUCGGCAAGUAGUUUCAAUUGAUAAUAGAAAGUAGUUUCAUUUGAUAAUAGAAACACUAACCUUUGCUUGUUUGAUGAAAAUUCUUAUAUACCAUGACAAGAGUAUAGAUCAUUCUGUUGCCAAUAUUGACAAUUGUAAAAGCACAUCCUUUUGCAGUGAUUUGAAGUGAGAAAUUUCCGGCAGGCUUAUGAUUUGGUCGAGCAUAGGUAUGUUCCAUGAAGGUGCAGGGCAUCAUGUUUUAUCUGCUUUUGUUGAGAUUGUGUUGAUAAUUCCGACAAUCACAUCCCGGGAAGAGGACAUCUCAACGAUUUCAACGUCAUCAAAGACACCACCAAUUAAAGCACAAAGGACAACCUAAACGCUGCCUAAAGGUCCCUUCCAUUCUUGUCAGGAGUAGAAUUUAGGUUCCUUCUCCCUUUUUGUAUAAGUUAGGAACUUGGGGAUUUUUCAUGUAAUUUUAUUAUGCAGUAAACAUGUAACCUGAAUAGAAUAAUAUACUCCUUAUAUUAUUUUGUUUUUGGAAUAUUAAUGUAUUAAUCUAUGCUUGGGAAA